rnacentral:rRNA from 1 species
AACGAACGCUGGCGGCAGGCCUAACACAUGCAAGUCGAGCGAGGACUUCGGUUCUAGCGGCGGACGGGUGAGUAACGCGUGGGAAUGUGCCCUUCUCUACGGAAUAGCCCUGGGAAACUUGGAGUAAUACCGUAUACGCCCUAUUGGGGAAAGAUUUAUCGGAGAAGGAUCAGCCCGCGUUGGAUUAGGUAGUUGGUGGGGUAAUGGCCUACCAAGCCGACGAUCCAUAGCUGGUUUGAGAGGAUGAUCAGCCACACUGGGACUGAGACACGGCCCAGACUCCUACGGGAGGCAGCAGUGGGGAAUCUUAGACAAUGGGGGCAACCCUGAUCUAGCCAUGCCGCGUGAGUGAUGAAGGCCUUAGGGUUGUAAAGCUCUUUCAGCUGGGAAGAUAAUGACGGUACCAGCAGAAGAAGCCCCGGCUAACUCCGUG